rnacentral:snRNA from 1 species
UAUAUUUUCGGGGAUCAUUUCUAUUGUGUGUCAGUAAGGAAAU